UGCCCCAUGGCUGAGUUGGUUACAGCGUCCGACUGUUAAGCAUAUCAGUUGAUAUCUAAAUAUCGGAAGGUCGUGAGUUCGAGCCUCACUGGGGCAG